rfam:Vibrio cincinnatiensis DSM 19608 genome assembly, contig: BS67DRAFT_scaffold00002.2
UCAUCAUCACCAUCAUCCCUAGUCAGUCUUUCGGGAGAUGUACGCAUACCCGGGAGGCAGGAUUCUCCCGGCGGUUAAAUCAAAAGUGUAUUUAGAUUUUAAACCCUCGGGAGACCAAACUCUCGAGGGUUUUUUACU